rfam:Gossypium hirsutum cultivar TM-1 chromosome 12, whole genome shotgun sequence
UAUUAAAAAUUCAUCUCUUUGUAUUAUUAAAAACUGGUGUGGUUAACAAAAUAACUAGAGAGUGAUGCUGCGUGAUACGUGUGCCUCAUUUUGACGUACGGUGAGUAGUAUUUAAAAGUAGAUAUGGAUAAAAUUUUUAACA